rnacentral:rRNA from 1 species
AAACUAGGAUUAGAUACCCUUUUAUUUAUUAAUUAAAAUUUUUUAUUUAAUAAAUAUUUUUUAAUAAAAAAGUUAAUUAAAAUGGCAGUAUAUUAUAAAAUUAGAGGAUUUUGUUAUAUAAUAGAUAUUACACUUUAAAAUUUAUUUAAUUUUUUGUAUUAUAUUGUAUAUUGUUGUAUUAAACUGAUAUUUUAAAAAUUAUUAGUUUUUUUUUAAAAAAAAUAAAUUCAAAUCAACAUACAUGUUAUAAUUAAAAUUUAAAUGAAAUACAAUUAAAUAUAUUAAUGAAUAAUAAAUUGUAAAAUUUAUUUAAAAUUGGAUUUAAUAGUAAAAAUUUAAUAAAUUUUUUAUUUGAAUUAAAUUAAUAUAUGUACAUAUUGCCCGUCGUUUUUAAUU